GAGGGAGAGAACAAGGGGAAACCCGCAUUCCGGUGGGGUCCAAGCCCGAGCCGCCGCAAAGCCCGGGAUGGCGGGGCAGAGUCUGGACAGGCCCCUGCAGCCCGGGGACCCUCGACUGACUCCGGGUCUCGCUCGCCGCUCGGGGCACUGCAGUGUCAGGGUGCCUUAGAGGUGCGGGCUCCCAGGGCUUAAACGCACCAGGCGCGGUGCAUAGAGGCCGCCCUCGGUGCCCUCCUCCAGGCAGGCAGCACGGCAAACCAAAGUUUCCCCAAGUGCAGCCUGCAGAGACCGCGGGGCACACUGACCUGGGACGCGCUGUCGAGUCGGCGGCGGCGCCUCCCGCCUCCCUCGCUCUGUCGUCUCCGUCCCUCCGAGCCAGUGGCCCCAGGGCGUCGUCCGGACUGGACUGUGGUCUUCGGCGGCUCGAGUCGCAGAUCCGGCUUCCCCACUCCCACAGCAGAGCUGAGUGGUUCCAACAGUGACCAUGUGGCCCUCAUCUCUGCGCUGACACUUUGCAGAAGACGUUUGCUGACUCCUGCUCUACAAGAUGCCACACGGUGCUAUAGAGAUGGGCAGUGAGCAAGACGUUUGGGUGUCAGGCUGCCUGCGGACGUUUACAGAGAACUCGGGGCGAUAGGAGGACGAGCGUUCGCUGAUUGAGGGUCUGCAGGGUCCAGAGCCUCUUCCCGCUCACAACCUGAAACAAAGACCACCCACGAGGAAGCAAGGGCAGAAGUCUGUGUGUACGAAUGGCAUACUGGGGAAGGACAGGCUUCCUGGGCCAGAGGGAAAAGCCGAAGGAGAGUAUAUCCCACAACACAACACUUUUGACCAAAUAUAAUGACCUAGGCAAUGAGAACAUAGGUAAUUCAGAACUACAAUCCAAGCCUGAUGUGUAAUGUGAAGAAAAGACUGUAAAUGAUACAAUUAUUUCCAAAGAAUGCUAUUAUUCGUUCUGGUCUCUGCCCAUGAAUGAACGAGUCACUUUCCUAAAACAUGGAGUUCUUGGCUGAGAAGACCUGAACUCUGCUUCCAUUUCUCACAGCCAUUAACAAUUAGCAUAAAUUCCUUUUAGUCUUUGGUUUCCAACACCUCAAGAACCCCCACUAGAAACAAAAUGUAUUUAC